AUGCAUCUAACCAUUGGGUAACGCUUUUAUUAGGAAAAUAUUGUCAUAAAAUCAAUUUUCUCGAAACGUUAUUGAGUCAUUUUUGCAAUACAAUAAUUAUAAUGAAACAACGAUAAUUCAAUUUAGAGAAAAUUACCUUCUUUGGGGGUUUAAUUACCGUAUGGACAUUUACCCAAUAUUACGAGCAUCAACCCUGUGGUUUUUUUCUCUAAGUUGCCUCCCAUUACGGCAAUGGAAACACCAAAUAGGAGUCGAUCUUUCUUCCCUCACUAGAGCGGUUUGCGUUUGAAGUGCUGGACAACUCGCG
rnacentral:lncRNA from 1 species